rnacentral:lncRNA from 1 species
CAUUUGAUAAAAAAAAAUUAAGUUUGGGAAUGAAUCAAGUGAGAAAAGUCAAAUUUUGGAAGUUGAGUCGACUUAUGGCUUGAAGUAGUUGAUUCUAGUACAUUCUGACACUAGCAUACAGUUUUGGCACGUUUGUGAAUCAACUCAUGGUUGCCUCAAGUCAACUCUUUCAUUAAAAUAUAAGAUUGAAUUUUUGGCACAGCUACUCAAGUCGACUUAUGGAUAUGGCGAGUCGACUCAUGGAUAGGGGCCAAUCGACUUUAUCAAGAAAAAUAAAAAGUCAAUUUUUGAAGAUUUAAGAUCGAGUCGACUCAGGCUCUUCAUGAGUCAACUUUCGAACCUUUAUGAGUCGACUCUUCAGCCUGUGAGUCAAUUCUUAAGCUUUUGACAGUUCAAACGGCUAGUUCUGCAAGAGAUUUUAUUUCAUCUAGAAUUUUUUCUAAUGGCUUGAUUUCUUCUCCAACGAUCAAAAAUGGUUGGAAUUGAGUUCAAAGUAUAUAAAAUUUAAUGGUAAUCGAAUAAAGAUAUAAGAGAAACCAAGUGAACACAAGGAAAAAUAACUUUCAAAGAAAAAGGGUCUACUUUCAGUAUUCACUGCAUUUAAAAGAGUUCAACCACUUUUUAACUAUUUUUUUUUGAACUUUAUUAGGGUAAUUAAGGAGACAAGAGUGAGCAUUAAGUUUAAGUAUUCAAGUCUUCUCCGGUUAAGUUUUAUCGACAACAAAUCAGCUCAUUUAAGGAGCUUUUCUUUUGUUGUAAAUUUUUUAUAUUUGAAUGUUUUUGUAACAAGUUUCAAAGGGUCUGAAACUUAGGAAAAUGUUUGAUCCAAACAUAUUAAUUGGAUUAGGAGUCUUGGAUUAAGACUUGUAAAAAUUUUGAUUGGUUGAUAUGGAUUAAAACUAAUUGGGUUGUUUGUAAGUUUGAUUAGACAAACUUGCUAUAUUCUUGUGAAUAUGUGAAAUUUUUAAGAGCUUGGGGAGUAGACAUAAGUGUUUGGAGUGCAUCAAACUACUAUAAAAAUUUGUUAUAUUUAUGUGUGUGGUUAUUUUUUUUCUACUUACAUUUCAUUUAGCUUGCAAUUCACUACACUUUACUUAAUUUGUUUUGCAAAGUAGUACAUAUUUAUUUAAAUUCUUGAAAGUCUAAUUCACCCCCUUUUGGAUUGUUUAGCUGGGCAAUAAGUGAUAUCAAAGUUUGCUACUCAGCUAAAAUUUGAUCUAAAGAUCAAG